GACGAACCGUCCAAACGUUAUUCGGUAUCACUGGGCUUAAAGCGUUCGUAGGCGGCCUAGAAGGUGUGAUGUGAAAGCCCACGGCUCAACCGUGGAACUGCGUCGCAAACCACUAGGCUUGAGGAAGACAGGGGUGAAGGGAACUUAUGGUGGAGCGGUGAAAUGCGUUGAUAUCAUAGGGAACACCGGUGGCGAAAGCG
rnacentral:rRNA from 1 species